GGGACACACGUGUUACAAUGGCAGGUACAGAGGGGUGCUACCGGGUGACCGGAUGCCGAUCUCGAAAACCUGUCCCAGUUCGGACUGGAGUCUGCAACCCGACUCCACGAAGUUGGAUUCGCUAGUAAUCGCGCAUCAGCCAUGGCGCGGUGAAUACGUUCCCGGGCCUUGUACACACCGCCCGUCAAGCCAUGGGAGCCGGGGGCGCCUGAAGUCCGGGACCGCGAGGACCGGCCUAGGGCGAAACUGGUGACUGGGGCUAAGUCGUAACAAGGUACC
rnacentral:rRNA from 1 species